rnacentral:rRNA from 1 species
CCUACGGGUGGCAGUAGUGAGGAAUAUUGGUCAAUGGACGAGAGUCUGAACCAGCCAAGUAGCGUGAAGGAUGACUGCUCUAUGGGUUGUAAACUUCUUUUAUAUGGGAAUAAAACGUUCCACGUGUGGGAUUUUGUAUGUACCAUAUGACUAAGGAUCGGCUAACUCCGUGCCAGCAGCCGCGGUAAUACGGAGGAUCCGAGCGUUAUCCGGAUUUAUUGGGUUUAAAGGGAGCGUAGGUGGAUUGUUAAGUCAGUUGUGAAAGUUUGCGGCUCAACCGUAAAAUUGCAGUUGAAACUGGCAGUCUUGAGUACAGUAGAGGUGGGCGGAAUUCGUGGUGUAGCGGUGAAAUGCUUAGAUAUCACGAAGAACUCCGAUGGCGAAGGCAGUUGACUGGACUGCAACUGACACUGAGGCUCGAAAGUGUGGGGAUCAAACAGGAUUAGAUACCCUUGUAGUC